rnacentral:tRNA from 1 species
GCCCCAGUGGCGCAAUGGUAGCGCAGCCGACUUGUAAUCGGCAGGCUGGUGGGUUCGAGUCCCCCCUGGGGCUCCA